rnacentral:lncRNA from 1 species
GUACCAAUGGGCAUGCACCCCCAGCUGUUAUGCGACAGCACAUAACGGUUGGUGUUGCACGUGCAUUGAUAAGCCAACAAUCGAUAGGUCCAGUGAGGAGACAUACAUCUGUGGCAUGCCCAGUGGCAUAGGCAUGAAUGGGUGGUCGAGGGACUUGGAGGUGAGGCCAGUAACAUGGCUAAGGUCCUCCUUUAGCCGGGCGUUCUCCAUGCGCAGCUUCUGCUCGUCAAAGUAGUCCUUGACAACGGGUGGGCCAUUAUAGUUGAGGCAGAUGAAGUUCUUGAGUGCCUCGCACAUGUCGAUGUUUUGCCACCGGAUCUUGUUUCUCUCCACGUGGAGAAAGCAGCAGUCCUGCCACUCGUGUUGCCCUGCCAUGCGAACACAACAAACACCGGGCAUCCAGAUUCCAUUAUGUUUAGGAACUAGUUGAAAACGAGACUNNNNNNNNNNUGACGCGCCAGAUUCAAACGCUUGUGACAUGAUAAUACUCUUAAUCCUAUACUCCAUUUCUUCCUGCCUUAAUUUUCUACUUUCUCAUAAUAAUCUUAUACCGCCGAUGAUUGAUAUAGAAAUAAUGGUGUAUUUGUCUUUGUAGGUCAUUCAACGAAUGUCCCCACCCCACCAAUGAGAUGCAACGCCCCGAUCUCAGUCGUGACCACGGUCUAGAGGCCCGUCAAAUUAAGUUUUGGUUCCAGAACCAGUGGAUGUAGGUGAAUGUCUCUGCUAAGAACAAUCUCUUGAUUGUCCAAAGUUUCUAUAUUUUUUCAACGAUCUGGUUUUCAACUGUUUCCUAAAUGGAAUGAAAUUUGGUUGUAUGCUAUUUGUUGUGGGUGACAUAGGAGGCGCAACAUGAGGGGUAGGACAACCGCUUCCUUCACGUGGAGAACCACAAGAUCCUGUGCCAGAACAUCGCCUUGCGCAAGAUGCUCAGGAACGUCAUCUUCCCCAACUAUGGUGGGUCACCCCUCGUCGAGGACGACUUCGACGAGAAAAAGCUACUCAUGGAGAAACCUCGUCUCAAGGAUGAGCUCGACCGCGUCCCCAUACGCACCUACCAGUCCCUCGACCGCCCGUUCGUGCAGAUAUCAUAGGGUGGGCCACAAAUGUUUGUCUCCCCGCUAGACGUGUCCAUGGGUGGCUAAUCGAUGUAUUGUGUACCAAUGGGCAGGCACCCCCGAGCUGUUAUGCGGCAGCACAUAAUGGUUGGUGGUGCACGUGCAUUGAUAAGCCAACAAUCGAUAGGUCCAGCGAGGAGACAGACAUCUGUGACGUGCCCAGUGGCAUAGGCAUGAAUGGGUGGUCGAGGGACUUGGAGGUGAGGCCAGUAACGCGGCUGAGGUCCUCCUUGAGUCGGGCAUUCUGCAUGCGCAGCUUCUGCUCGUCAAAGUAGUCCUUGACAACGGGUGGGCC